CCUACGGGCUGCACCAGUGGGGAAUCUUGCGCAAUGCGCGAAAGCGUGACGCAGCAACGCCGCGUGGGGGAAGAAGGCCUUCGGGUUGUAAACCCCUUUCAGUUGGGACGAAGCUCACUCGGUGAAUAGCCGAGCGGAGUGACGGUACCUUCAGAAGAAGCCCCGGCUAACUACGUGCCAGCAGCCGCGGUAAUACGUAGGGGGCAAGCGUUGUCCGGAAUCAUUGGGCGUAAAGAGCGUGUAGACGGUUCGGUAAGUCCGCUGUGAAAGUCCAGGGCUCAACCCUGGAAUGCCGGUGGAAACUGUCGAACUAGAGUCCGGAAGAGGCGAGUGGAAUUCCUGGUGUAGCGGUGAAAUGCGCAGAUAUUAGGAGGAACACCAAUGGCGAAGGCAGCUCGCUGGGACGGUACUGACGCUGAGACGCGAAAGCGUGGGGAGCAAACAGGAUUAGAUACCCGAGUAGUC
rnacentral:rRNA from 1 species